CAGUCGCCGCGGUAAUACGAAGGGUGCAAGCGUUACUCGGAAUUACUGGGCGUAAAGCGUGCGUAGGUGGUGGUUUAAGUCCGUUGUGAAAGCCCUGGGCUCAACCUGGGAAUUGCAGUGGAUACUGGGUCACUAGAGUGUGGUAGAGGAUAGUGGAAUUUCCGGUGUAGCAGUGAAAUGCGUAGAGAUCGGAAGGAACAUCUGUGGCGAAGGCGACUAUCUGGGCCAACACUGACACUGAGGCACGAAAGCGUGGGGAGCAAACAGGAUUAGAUACCCGAGUAGUCCCUGUCUCUUAUAA
rnacentral:rRNA from 1 species